rnacentral:rRNA from 1 species
AGAGUUUGAUCCUGGCUCAGAUUGAACGCUGGCGGUAUGCUUAACACAUGCAAGUCGAACGGUAGCAGGCCUUCGGGCGCUGACGAGUGGCGGACGGGUGAGUAACGCGUAGGAAUCUGCCUGGUAGUGGGGGACAACGUGGGGAAACCCACGCUAAUACCGCAUACGCCCCAAGGGGGAAAGCGGGGGACCUUCGGGCCUCGCGCUAUCAGAUGAGCCUGCGUUAGAUUAGCUAGUUGGUGGGGUAAAGGCCUACCAAGGCGACGAUCUAUAGCUGGUCUGAGAGGACGAUCAGCCACACUGGGACUGAGACACGGCCCAGACUCCUACGGGAGGCAGCAGUGGGGAAUAUUGGACAAUGGGCGGAAGCCUGAUCCAGCAAUACCGCGUGUGUGAAGAAGGCCUGAGGGUUGUAAAGCACUUUCAAUUGGGAGGAAAACCCACCGGCCAAUACCCGGUGGCUUGACAUACCUAGAAGAG